CGGACGGGUGAGUAAUGUCUGGGAAACUGCCUGAUGAGGGGGAUAACUACUGGAAACGGUAGCUAAUACCGCAUAACGCCGCAAGACCAAAGAGGGGGACCUUAGGGCCUCUUGCCAUCGGAUGUGCCCAGAUGGGAUUAGCUAGUAGGUGGGGUAAAGGCUCACCUAGGCGACGAUCCCUAGCUGGUCUGAGAGGAUGACCAGCCACACUGGAACUGAGACACGGUCCAG
rnacentral:rRNA from 1 species